UGGGGAAUUUUGCACAAUGGGGGAAACCCUGAUGCAGCGACGCCGCGUGAUUUAGAAGGCCUUCGGGUUGUAAAAAUCUUUUUUAUGGGAUGAAAAUGACAGUACCAUAAGAAUAAGGUCCGGCUAAAUACGUGCCAGCAGCCGCGGUAAUACGUAUGGACCGAGCGUUGUCCGGAAUCAUUGGGCGUAAAGGGUACGUAGGCGGCCCAGUAAGUUAGAAGUGAAAUAAUAUAGCUCAACUAUAUAAAGCUGUUAAAACUGCUAGGCUUGAGAGAUGGAAGGGAAAGUGGAAUUCCUAGUGUAGCGGUGAAAUGCGCAGAUAAUAGGAGGAAUACCAGUGGCGAAGGCGGCUUUCUGGUCAUCAUCUGACGCUGAGGUACGAAAGCGUGGGUAGCAAACAGG
rnacentral:rRNA from 1 species